AAUUUGUGGUGCAAACAUUUUUGAAUCAACAUUUUGAAGCAUUCCCAUGCCUCAUAGAAACCUUCUCCUUCCAUCUAUCUAAAGAUUGCAAUCUCUCUUCUUAGCC
rfam:Gossypium hirsutum cultivar TM-1 chromosome 9, whole genome shotgun sequence